UAGCCUCACUUCGAAUUCAGUGUUGAGCU
rnacentral:piRNA from 1 species